UAUUGGUCUAAACAGAUCAACUUUCAACACAUCUGAUGUAGCGUUCGAAGAGUCAUUCUCAGAAUCUUUUAGCUUCCCAAAAGACACAAGUCCUCUAGUUUAUUCUAAUUCAUCUUUCUUUGACACCUUCCUUUAAGUAAAAACUCCCUGCAGAAAUCUGUUUUUGUAUCCAUUGCUGAAAACAACUACAAAGUGUUAUCCUCCAUGAAAUAUGCCCUAAACAACAACAAAAAAAGGCACAAAACUCAUCUGAAGCCUCUUAGUGUGAAAGAUUUCAAGUCCACAAGCACUGAACAGCAGAGGACCUGCCAUUCCCCUACCAGCACUACUUUCUAUUGCUGCUGUCUAGGAGGCUACAUAGGAUUCCACCAAGAAACACAGUGGAAUGAUGAAACCUCCCUUACUUUACAUCACUCAGUUGGUACAUUGGAAGAUUUUAUCUGCUUGGAUCUGACUAGAGCUCACAUUUUGAAAUAAAAACUAAGUAAAUAAAUAAAUAAAUAAAAGAGGAUAUGUUUAGUUAAAAAAAUCAAUUGAUAUUCAUUAUCUUUCCUUGAUAACAGUGGCAACAGUGAAUCAAUUAUUAAGCCUUUGUAAUAGCACUAACAGUGCUAUUUUUUGACACCUUUGAAAGCAACUUUUUGGAGAUAGUCACAUAGCCAAAAUCAAUUGCUACCAACACCUUUUUAUGUAACAAAACCUUUUGCUAUGAUCUACUUGUAAUUCUAGUAAGUAUAAAAUCCUCAGUGGAAAGCAAAUUGAUGUUUAUAAUGAUUAUCAGUUUAAGUUCCAAUGUCAUCUUCUUUCUUAAAGAAUAUGUCAAUUUAACUGUGAAUCUACUUAACCCAGAAUAACAUGAAAUUUCCUUGUAUGUAAGACAAAUAAACUCAUAUAUGUGGGAGGGAUUAACCUCAUGCAUUGCAAUAGGCUAGGAUUUGCCUGUCUAUGUUGCUUCUCUGCAGAAGCUGAUCUGAGGGAGAAGUUGAGCGUGAGUCAGCAGUAUGUCUUUGCAGCAAUGCAGGUUAACCACAGACCCAGCUGCAUUAGCAACAGCACAACCUGCAGGCAAAGGAAAUGGUUAAUUCUUUUGCUCAGCAUCUUGAGGACACAUAUGUAAUCCCAUGACCAUUGCUGAGUCCCAGAAGCAAUACCAGAAAUAUAUUUCAAAUGGAAAAAUCCAGUGGAGAAACUUUUAGAUGAUCAGAAUACUGAAUGUUUGACAUACCAACAAAGGCUGGGGGAAUUGGACUUCUGACUUUCAAAAGAAGAAAGCUAACUGUUGUGUUCUGCUGCCUAAAAGGGGACUUGCGGAGCUAGACUUGUUCCACAGGCGCACCAUGAAAGGCCAAGAGGCAACUAUCAGAAAUUGAAGUAAGGAAAACUCCAGUUGGCUCUAAGGGAAAUAUUCUUCUUAAUAAAAGGAAGAAGCUUAGGCUUCAGAAUCUCUGUCUUUGGUUAUUUUGAAAACAAGGGCCUGGGCAAUGUUAUUCAGUUUAGAAGUCAGCACUGCUUUGAGUAGGUUGUUGGACUAGAGAACCUACAGAGGUCCCUCUCAGCACAUAUAUUUUGUGAUAUAGCCUAUGAUCUUUCCAAACUGCAGGGACUGAAAUUCAACUAAUUCACACUAUGGAACACCCCAAUCAGGUACUCACAGCAGUGUGGAAUUCAUCACACUCUAUUCUUCUCCCAAGAACAGAACAAAAAGUAAAGACCGGUAUUUGCUUCCUCUGCUUUCUGGCAUCCUUCUGUCUGUGUUCUGUUCUCAACCCGAAACAACAAACUUAGGGAUGAUUUAAGGAAAACUAAAUUUCACAGCCUCUUCAGCUAAAACAGCAUAUUUAAAAUAAUUACCUCAUUUCAACAUGUACACCCAUAAAUUCAGGGUGCAUUAAAGCAGUAAAUACUAAGCAGAUUGAUUCAUAUCAUUUGCACGAUUUCAUUACAUUUCGAUGUCAAUUCACUUUGAAAUAAAUCUUUGUUUUGCAAUUAGGGGCUAAUUGAUUAAGAGGAAUAAAAAAUAAUAAAUUUCGAGAUCUACGGUUUUUCCAAAUUUAAACACUACAGAUUUAAAUAAUCACAUAUAUAUGAACAUGUCAGAUCUUGGCAUCCACUUCAACAAUAUGAAAUAAUGAACAGAGCAAGUCAGACACACAAAUGUAAAGACAAGGCAGAGAUUUAAUACUAUCUUUUAUAUUAUUUUUAACAGCAGACUAUCACAAAUACAGUAAGCUUAAAAUUUUAAAUUUCCAAAUCUCAAACAUUAGUGUUUCCUAUGUGAAAAUCUAUUCUG